CCUACGGGUGGCAGCAGUGAGGAAUAUUGGUCAAUGGGCGCUAGCCUGAACCAGCCAAGUAGCGUGAAGGAUGACUGCCCUAUGGGUUGUAAACUUCUUUUAUAUGGGAAUAAAGUGCAGUAUGUAUACUGCUUUGCAUGUACCUUAUGAAUAAGGAUCGGCUAACUCCGUGCCAGCAGCCGCGGUAAUACGGAGGAUCCGAGCGUUAUCCGGAUUUAUUGGGUUUAAAGGGAGCGUAGGUGGAUUGUUAAGUCAGUUGUGAAAGUUUGCGGCUCAACCGUAAAAUUGCAGUUGAAACUGGCAGUCUUGAGUACAGUAGAGGUGGGCGGAAUUCGUGGUGUAGCGGUGAAAUGCUUAGAUAUCACGAAGAACUCCGAUUGCGAAGGCAGCUCACUGGACUGCAACUGACACUGAGGCUCGAAAGUGUGGGUAUCAAACAGGAUUAGAUACCCGGGUAGUC
rnacentral:rRNA from 1 species